rfam:Leptonema illini DSM 21528 genomic scaffold Lepilscaffold_1, whole genome shotgun sequence.
GAAAGCCGGAUGCGGGAAAUCUGCACGUCCGGUUUGACGAGGGGGAGGGCUGCCGGAUUUCCGGCACCCUCUCUACUCUAC